rnacentral:rRNA from 1 species
GAACGUACGCUGGCGGCACGCCUAACACAUGCAAGUCGAACGAAGUAGCAAUACUUAGUGGCAGACGGGUGAGUAACAUGUAGGUAUCUGCCCUUUGGCCUGGAAUAACACGAGGAAACUUGUGCUAAUACCGGAUAAGUCUUUACGGAGAAAGCUUUAUGCACCAUUGGAUGAGCCUGCACUUGAUUAGUUUGUUGGUAGGGUAAUGGCCUACCAAGACUGUGAUCAAUAGCUGAUUUGAGAGGAUGAUCAGCCACAUUGGGACUGAGACACGGCCCAAACUCCUACGGGAGGCAGCAGUGGGGAAUCUUGCACAAUGGAGGAAACUCUGAUGCAGCGAUGCCGCGUGAGUGAAGAAGGCCUUUGGGUUGUAAAGCUCUUUCGUCGGGGAAGAAAAUGACUGUACCCGAAUAAGAAGGUCCGGCUAACUUCGUGCCAGCAGCCGCGGUAAUACGAAGGGACCUAGCGUAGUUCGGAAUUACUGGGCUUAAAGAGUUCGUAGGUGGUUGAAAAAGUUGGUGGUGAAAUCCCAGAGCUUAACUCUGGAACUGCCAUCAAAACUUUUCAGCUAGAGUUUGAUAGAGGAAAGCAGAAUUUCUAGUGUAGAGGUGAAAUUCGUAGAUAUUAGAAAGAAUACCAAUUGCGAAGGCAGCUUUCUGGAUCAUUACUGACACUGAGGAACGAAAGCAUGGGUAGCGAAGAGGAUUAGAUACCCUCGUAGUCCAUGCCGUAAACGAUGUGUGUUAGACGUUGGAAAUUUAUUUUCAGUGUCGCAGCGAAAGCGAUAAACACACCGCCUGGGGAGUACGACCGCAAGGUUAAAACUCAAAUGAAUUGACGGGGACCCGCACAAGUAGUGGAGCAUGUGGUUUAAUUCGAAGAUACGCGCAGAACCUUACCAACACUUGACAUGUUCGUCGCGACUCUAAGAGAUUAGAGUUUUCGGUUCGGCCGGACGAAACACAGGUGCUGCAUGGCUGUCGUCAGCUCGUGUCGUGAGAUGUUGGGUUAAGUCCCGCAACGAGCGCAACCCUCACUUUUAGUUGCCAUCAUUAAGUUGGGCACUCUGAAAGAACUGCCAGUGAUAAGCUGGAGGAAGGUGGGGAUGACGUCAAGUCCUCAUGGCCCUUACGUGUUGGGCUACACACGUGCUACAAUGGUAUCUACAACAGGAAGCAAGACUGCGAAGUUAAGCAAAUCCCUAAAAGAUACCUCAGUUCGGAUUGCACUCUGCAACUCGAGUGCAUGAAGCUGGAAUUACUAGUAAUCGUGGAUCAGCGUGCCACGGUGAAUGCGUUCCCGGGUCUUGUACACACCGCCCGU